UCUCGUGACUGCGUGCCUUUUGAAGAAUGAGCCUGCGAGUUUGCGGUGUGUUGCGAGGUUAACCCGAGUGGGGUAGCCGUAGCGAAAGCGAGUCCGAAUAGGGCGGUGGAGUAGCACGCUCAAGACCCGAAGCGGAGUGAUCUAGCCAUGGGCAGGUUGAAGCGGAGGUAAGACUUCGUGGAGGACCGAACCCACCAGGGUUGAAAACCUGGGGGAUGACCUGUGGUUAGGGGUGAAAGGCCAAUCAAACUCCGUGAUAGCUGGUUCUCCCCGAAAUGCAUUUAGGUGCAGCGUCGUGUGUUUCUUGCCGGAGGUAGAGCACUGGAUAGGCGAUGGGCCCUACCGGGUUACUGACCUUAGCCAAACUCCGAAUGCCGGUAAGUGAGAGCGCGGCAGUGAGACUGUGGGGGAUAAGCUCCAUGGUCGAGAGGGAAACAGCCCAGAGCAUCGACUAAGGCCCCUAAGCGUACGCUAAGUGGGAAAGGAUGUGGAGUCGCAGAGACAACCAGGAGGUUGGCUUAGAAGCAGCCACCCUUGAAAGAGUGCGUAAUAGCUCACUGGUCUAGUGAUUCCGCGCCGACAAUGUAGCGGGGCUCAAGCGUACCGCCGAAGUCGUGUCAUUGCAGCAUAACGCCCAACGGCGGCUGUGAUGGGUAGGGGAGCGUCGUCUGCCGGGUGAAGCAGCACCGGAAGGUAGUUGUGGACGGUUGACGAGUGAGAAUGCAGGCAUGAGUAGCGAUUCACACGUGAGAAACGUGUGCGCCGAUUGACUAAGGGUUCCUGGGUCAAGCUGAUCUGCCCAGGGUAAGUCGGGACCUAAGGCGAGGCCGACAGGCGUAGUCGAUGGAUAACCGGUUGAUAUUCCGGUACCCGCUGUGAAGCGUCAAACAUCGAAUCCAGUGAUGCUAAGCCCGUGAAGCCGCCGGGGCCCGUCUUUGACGUGUCUCGGAGUGGUGGAGCCGGUGGCCCGAGCUGGUAGUAGGUGAGUGAUGGGGUGACGCAGGAAGGUAGUCCAUCCCGGGCGGUGGUUGUCCCGGGGUAAGGGUGUAGGACG
rnacentral:rRNA from 1 species